GAACACCAUCAUAAAACUGAAGUAGAGGAUGUAGAGAAAACUAGUCCUUAGCCCCUCUUCUCCCAAAGAGCAAGGAUGUGAAAAACAAGUUUUCCUCCUCUCCCAGCUUCCCUGUCUCUUUAGUAAUUUUUCCUUAGUGAAACUCAAGGUUACUUCACAACAACUCCAGUUUCUCUGUUCUGGGCAACAUGACAAGGUCACAAGACGAGCUUGAGUAAGACGUAUACCAGCUGCAAGGCCUGCUUUAGUUUGUUAACUUCCUGUUUUCCUCCCAAUGCAGCUGCAAGGUCAGCUUUAGUUUGUUAACUUCCUGUUUUCCUCCCAAUGCAGCUGCAAGGUCAGCAUAACCUGUCACUGUUUAAUUAACUGCCUUUGUUCUGCUUCUGUGAGCCUGCUUGCUUGCACCAGGAGCCUUGUGCCACUAGAUGGCCACCAUGCACAUAUAAAAGACAAGCCCUGUACUUGUCCAGGGCUCAGCUUUUUGUGUGUGAAUCCACUGAGCCAGUGUGCACCUUAAUAAAAUCCUCUAGUUUCACCCACUGGCCUCUCCUGCCUCCUGUUUUCUGCAACACUUUGGUGAGCCAGCCAGGAGAUGGAGAUGACAGGUUUGCUGUCUACUUUGCCUUUAGGUGUGAGACCCCAAGCCAGGAGAGACCCAUGACCUCAGGUGCCAUCAGGAGAACUUAAACCUGAAGAAGGGAUCAGCUAUCCCACAACCCAGUGCCCCUCCCAGACAGCACAACAGAAUCUAAGGGGCUACAGGAUGAUUCCAGGAACAGUGCACUACAGGACCACGUUGCAGGAAUCGUGCCUUGGAUUCACCACAGUUGGCUGAAACUGGUAGCCCAAGACAAGUGGACCAGCCAGAAGGACCCAGGCCAUCCAACCCAGCUGAUCCUAUGAUGGGACCGAGGUGCCAAUGAAGACUACAACAGCCCUGCUCUGGUCACUUCAGAAGCUGACCAGUCUACACACGGUGGAAGCUUGAGGAAACAACAGCCCUGUUCUAGUCACCCCAGAAGCUGACUCGUCUAUGUACGGCCAAAGCUCGAGGCAUCAUCAGGAAAGUAAAAGUGGUUAGAAAUCUUACGUCUGGAAACUUUCCUUGUAAUAUUAAUUGUUUUACUAUUGUCCUGUUGCUUUGCUCAACCUCCUCCUCUAGGAAAGGACCUCUUCUCUCCAUGCUAGGUAUAAACAUGUUAUUCAUUACUUUUGCUAUUCCCUUUAACCACGUUAAAGGGAGAAUCCUUAGAAGGAUGCCCCCACUGCACUGACAAUACGUAGACAGGAAGCACCAUGACUAGAACCCUGUUCUACCACUUAUUAUAGGUAUGCAGGGACCCAUUGAGGAACUUGUACACACAACCAGAUAACCUACUCAAUCUGCAACCCAGGAAGUGGCCAGCCUUAUAUAUGUUAUGACCCAAAGUCCUUACCUAGAACCUAGUUGGAGGUUCAUGUCAGGUCAAAAGAAAUAAAAGGGGAAUAACCAUAAAGAAUUAAAGAUAAUGAAUGGCCACCUGAAAGAAUAAUGCAAUACUAUGGCCCAGCCACAUGGGCAGAUGGAUCAUGGAGAUACCGCACCCCUAUUUACAUGCUAAAUCACAUCAUAUGGUUGCAGGCAGUACUGGAGAUCAUUACGAAUGAUACUGCAAGAGCCUUAAAUUUGCUGGCUCGGAAAUCUACAGAAAUGAGAAAUGCCGUUUAUCAAAAUAGACUGGCUUUAGACUACCUCCUAGCCCAAGAGGGAGGAGUAUGUAGAAAGUUCAGCCUAACUAAUUGCUGUCUAAAAAUCGAUGACAACGGAAAGGUCGUCAAACAAAAAGCUGCAAGAAUCCAAAAAUUAGCCCAUAUUCCAGUCAAGACUUAGAAAGGAUGGUCUCCAGAUUCCCUCUUCAGGGGUUAGUUCUCAUCCCUUGCAGAAUUUAAAACCUUAGUAAGAAUAGUUCUAGCCAUAUUAGGAGUCUGCCUCAUACUCCCUUGUCUCUUACCCCUCCUUGUCAAAAACAUCUAAAUGGCCACAGAGGCUCUUGUAACCAGGCAAACUACUACACAACUAAUGACCCUAACUAAAUAUCAGCCUUUGCCAAAUGAAGAAAACUUGCCUUUUCAUGAAAAAUUAAGUCAUAGUGAUGCUAUUAAACGUCAUUUAUAAAAAGCGUCAAAGGGGGAAAUGAAGUAGAGGAUGUAAAGAAAACUAGUCCUUAUCCCCUCUCCUCCCAUAGAGCAAUGAUGGGAAAAACAAUUUUUCCUCCUCUCCUAGCUUCCUCCUCCCCUUAGUAAUCCUUCCUUAGUGAAACUCAAGGUUACUUCACAACAACUCCAGUUUCUCUGUUCUGGAUAACAUGACAAGGUUACAAGACGAGCUUGAGUAAGACAUGUACCAGCUGCAAGGCCUGCUUUAGUUUGAUAAAUUCAUGUUUCCCUUCCAGUGAAGCUGCAAGGUCAGCAUAACCUGUCACUGUUUGAUUAACUGCCUCUGUUCUGCUUCUGUGAGCCUGCUUACUUGCACCACGAGCUUUGCGCCACUAGAUGGCCCAUGCAUGUAUAAAAGACAAGCCCUGUCUUAGUCCAAGGCUCAGCUUUUUGGAUGCGAAUCCAUUGUGCCAGGGUGCACCUUAAUAAAAUCCUCCAGUUUCACCUACUGGGUGUCUCCUGCCUCCUAUUUUCUCUAACAAAACCACAUAUAAAAUAAAAGUCUAUAUUAAAUGUAAAUAUACAAAUAUAGAAGUCUUUACUAUCAUAAUAAUGAUGCAUAAAACCCUUAAAGCUCCUC
rnacentral:lncRNA from 10 species